AACGAACGCUGGCGGCAGGCUUAACACAUGCAAGUCGAACGCAUCCUUCGGGGUGAGUGGCAGACGGGUGAGUAACGCGUGGGAACGUGCCCUUCAGUUCGGGAUAACCCAGGGAAACUUGGGCUAAUACCGGAUACGUGCGAGAGCAGAAAGAUUUAUCGCUGAAGGAUCGGCCCGCGUCUGAUUAGCUAGUUGGUGGGGUAAUGGCCCACCAAGGCGACGAUCAGUAGCUGGUCUGAGAGGAUGAUCAGCCACAUUGGGACUGAGACACGGCCCAAACUCCUACGGGAGGAAGCAGUGGGGAAUAUUGGACAAUGGGCGCAAGCCUGAUCCAGCCAGGCCGCGUGAGUGAUGAAGGCAUUAGGGUUGUAAAGCUCUUUCGUCCGGGACGAUAAUGACGGUACCCGAAGAAGAAGCCCCGGCUAACUCCGUGCCAGCCGCCGCCGUAA
rnacentral:rRNA from 1 species